CUUAUCCAUCUUCUCCACCGAAUAAAGGCACCCUUUUGUUUUCUAUUUUAAUGAAUUGUGUGAUUACUCUCCCGUAUGCACUGGUUCCUCUUCGUCUUCUGUAACCGAGAAGCCAUCCAUGAUCCAUCGAAGAUAAAUACGAUAUCGAGCUCGAGCCGCUGGGGAACAGACGAACCGUGGAGUCCCAUCUCCCUCCAACCUCAUAGGUUCCUUCAUGGACAUCUCGCAAAGCGAUCACGUACACAACAAGCAGGAGCUCCUCCAAGACAUGCGACGACGUGCCGCCGCAGUAGCUCCACAACUGCAACCUCGCUAUCUUCAUGGGCGUUCGAUUGUCAACUCGCCCCACCUACGACAUGCCGGCGCCAAGCUCCACGCAUCCAUAAGAUGAAGAAACAGGCAUCCAGGCCCGAAACAUCGCAGAUGAAAAUGCCUCAUCUUCCCUCCAAUCAUCUUGAAGACUCCAGGUAAGAUGUGGCACGCGAGCCCGCACUACCCCUGGUCUGGCAGGUUAACCCUCUAGCUUCUCUGACAGCCUAGCUUAUGAUUCCGGAAGUGGGACAUCACAUCGGGCAACCGGGCGACUGGGUGCUUCUCAUGUGGAGUUGUUGACUAGGAUGGCCGCCGCUAUGCCACACGAACACAGUUUCAUGAACGCAUCCACACAUCCUGUGAGCAACGGUGUGAACCGGCGGCGGUUGUCGCUUUAGUCAACGGCAGAGGAUGGGCGUCAUGGACGCCGGUAGUUCUCCAACUAUCCCGUAAUCCGUCGGAUCAACUGAAUCGUCAUUUGGUCGCUCUCCCAGUACGCGGGCACUCCCAGUUGCUGGGCCACUGAGCACACUGCCACCAGGUCGCCCUUGCCGACUUCGUCCAUGACUAUAUCUCGGUGACUUCUUCCCGUUGCUGCCCAUAGGCCAUAGUUCGUGCCCUACCGGUCUGAUCGCUGUCAACACUUUGGUUAGGCAUCCUCUCCCAAAUCAGCGUAUAUCUUGCUAGGUUGCUCAUUAUAGAUGUGAACUCCUCCUUUUCUGAAAAACAAUGUUAGAUCAGAACUCACUCGUACUUUUUAUUCAGUAUUUUUUUGCGGGGAUAUUGUUGGCGCCGCCAUCCCCGCGGCGCCGCCUCCUUAUUCUACCUCACACAACUCUCCUGAGGUUUCUCUCUUCUUCUCACAAGAACACAAGAACACACACCCACACACACACACGCACCAAGGAAGAACACACAAGCUUUGCCAAGAUGCUCCCUUGGUGAUCACACGGUGGCUACAUUGUUUCUCCAGCAGCCCUCUUGGCCUUAACCUUUUUCAUUAACUCAAUGCAGGUAUAUAUACACAAGGGGCUAGACACGCCCACUAACCCACUAACACACGUUAACACACGUCCAUCACUUAACUUUCUAGAAUCACUCUAGGGAUGACUUGGCUACUGACUUGACCGAUCGGCCUCUACUAACAAACUAUCUCAACUAGCAUGCACGGCUCAGUCCAUGCAAUCAACUAUCCUACCUUUUAGCUAGCUCACUAACCAACAAACUUCAUGUAGCUAAUCUCCUACAUGCACGAGGCUAACUAGCUGCAGCACCCGUAACUACUUGACUCACCGACUCACUCGGCUAACAUUUUUGCUGGUUGUUGCCUUCAGAUCUUGUGCAGCCGCUUCACACGGCACUCGGCAUCUCUCCUUGCACCACAUCGCACAGCUUUGCAGCAUCUCGUCACCAUCAGCAUCUCGCUGUACUCGCCGUAUCGUACGGCGCUAUGGCAUCUCGCCUUCUCCGCACAUCUCCGUUGAAGCUUCGUCGACUAGCUACUCCCUAAUCUAUGCUACAUGCAUUACGAAAACUAAAUAUGCAGAUACAUCAAUCAAAAUUAACUCUAACAAUUCAGUAUGUUUCUGAUGUGAUAACUGAACUCACUAGGGCAGAAGUAGUUUUAUCAGUGUGCUUCUUAUGUGAGAUGAACUCACAAUUUCAAAGAGCUGGGAACUGAAGAAUUCAGUGAGCAUAAAAAUAUAUUCAAGUAGAGCGAAGGAUUCUUCUCUUCUAUGAUUUUCUUCGAUGACUUGCUAAUUAAGAUACCCCUCAUUGCUUCAAUCGAUUAUGCCUUGAUUGAGGAAGCAAAAUGGUCUCACAUAGUUGUUCUUAAUUACUAGGGUAAUUAUUUCUAUGUUUCAGGACUUUAUAAUGCUCUGAAACUUGCCUUCGUUGAGACACUCAUGAAUUGCAUUUAGGUUGACAGAGGUUUGAAUGGUUGUUUUAUUCAGAGCAUUCUCUUCUUUUUUCAGUGCAAUAAGCAAUAUGAUGAAGCUACAUAGGGUACAAACUUAGUCUCUGGACUUGACGUCAUCACAGACCAAGAUAAUAAGCAUGUCUCUUAAUGUAUGAUAAGUUCUUGAUCUAAAAGUAGAGAGGGGCCACGAAGUGUACUUGCCAUUUUCAAAUAUUCCCCGAGAUGUAUAAAGAGAAGCCUAUCAUAGAAAAUAUGUUCUUAGUAAAUUGACAUUUUCUUUCAUGACUAGCCAUGUAAAAUAAACCACUGGAAAAAGCCAUCUUACGUACAGUGGCACUAUUUGCACUUGCAUCCAUCUUACAUUUCAGACACUUAAUUUUGAUCUCUCAUGUCAGGUGCAGAAUUAUGGAAGCAGACCCGCGGAAUCGCUCCUACAAUGUGUUCUUCUUUGUUGUGUGGCUGCAUACCUUUAAAUCAUACCCCAAAUAACAUGUUGCAAUUUUUCAUCUUAAAAUCAUAUAUAUACUUCGCAAAAAGAUUUAUUCAGUUUAUGUAUUAUAUCAUGUGCAUAUAUGUGACUAAAAGUUCCCGCAACAACGUGCGGGGUAUCAUCUAGUUAUAUCAGUUAUUGUACUAUUUUUGGAUUGAUGAUGAGAGAUCUAGAUUCGUGAGAUUAGUUGCAACGAAAUUUGGUUCAGUAAUUCAGUGUUUAGACAUACAAGAUACUAUAAUAGAGCUCAGGAUUAAAAUGUUUGUUCUCUUUGUUUCAUUUUAGAAUGCCCGCCGCAGUAUUGCAGCAGCACUAUCUCAAAGACGUGUCGCCGGGUGUUGUUAGGGAUUUCUUCUGGCAUGAUGACUUUCGGAUCAAGAACACUUGGGUCAAUAUGCUUCUGUAGCAUGAGACAUUGAACGGGUGCACAAAGACUGGAACAAUGGUUGUUUGCUGGGUCAGGAAGUUUCCAUUCUUCUGCAACGACAUGGAGUAUGUUAUCGGUCGCAGGGUAUGGGCAUCUCGAAAGACGUACUACUACGCUAAUAAGGACUUCAGAGCCUGCUAAGCAUGACGGGAGGACUGCAAUUGAUAGAAACAAGAGAGAACAGGGUUGGUUAGCUUGAACCAGAGCUUGCUUGAAGCAUAUGCACAUCUGGACAUGAUUUGGAUUGAGUAAGCACGUAAAGUUGUGAUGCUAACACAUACCAAGUGGAGAGCAAUAUCACAGGGUUACCGUGCUAGGAAUAUGCUAUGCAUACAUCAUUCAUGUAAUGAUCUUCUAUUUAUGUUUCUUAAGCCAUUAAUCUUAGGCUAAAGUGUAGUUUAUUAGAGCAGUAUUUGAAUGAAACAAAUACUGACACGGAAUGUGGAAGGUUUGAAGAUUUUCUUAUAUAAUUCUUUGAGAACAGAUAAGUAAACCAUGUUAUUUUCAAAAUGGCAAGUUUUCAGAA